AUAGGAACCCUCCCUGAGGCAGAUGAGGAGUGAAGGAAAAGGCCUUCUACUGCAUACAGCUGGAACCAAUGGGACCGUGAAGUUCCAUCCCUAGCCAGGAAAAAGCCUGGCAGCCUGAUGCAAUGAGCUUGGUUUUAUUUUUGAAGACAUCAACUGGUCAACAGAAUAAAAAGCACCUGAGACUUACACUAAGGAGCGUUGUAUGUGGCAUUGCUUCCGUGCAAGACUAUUCCAAUCAACGCAACCAACUCGUUACCGUCUUGGAAAGAAUAAAAGUCAUUUUCAUGCUGCAGAUUUUCAAGGAUUGACCUCUAGGAAUGAGAAAUGCUGAGGUGCCCAACUAAAGAAUUAAACAGAUGCUUAUUGCUCUGCAGUUUAUUCAUUUAA